rnacentral:rRNA from 1 species
GAUGAACGCUAGCGGCAGGCUUAAUACAUGCAAGUCGUGGGGCAGCAUGAGUAGCAAUACUUGAUGGCGACCGGCAAACGGGUGCGGAACACGUACACAACCUUCCUUCAAGCGGGGAAUAGCCCAGAGAAAUUUGGAUUAAUACCCCAUAAAAUAUAAAAAUGGCAUCAUUAUAUAUUAAAGCUUCGGCACUUGAUGAUGGGUGUGCGGCUGAUUAGAUAGUUGGCGAGGUAACGGCUCACCAAGUCUACGAUCAGUAGCUGAUGUGAGAGCAUGAUCAGCCACACGGGCACUGAGACACGGGCCCGACUCCUACGGGAGGCAGCAGUAAGGAAUAUUGGACAAUGGACGAAAGUCUGAUCCAGCCAUGCCGCGUGAAGGAUUAAGGUCCUCUGGAUUGUAAACUU